rnacentral:pre_miRNA from 1 species
AAUAGGAAUAAAAUACUGUAUCUGUUACUUCUGCUGGUAAACUAAUCUUUGUAAUCCUGUU